AUAUAGGAAAGUCAUGAUGGGAACAGUGUGAAACAUUAUUCAAACUGUCAAACAUAUUAAGACAAAACACAUCAACUGGUAAUAGUGAGACAUCGACCGUGGGAAAGCUCUAAGCACUGGCAUCUCAGGCCUCACUGAAGCAACCACGUGGAAAUAUGAGUCGAGGAAAUAAUGAUAAUAAUAAUAAUGUAACUGUGGUAUCAAUAUACCUCAUUAUACCUCAUUGUUAUUAUGUAAAAUAUUAACAUGUAAGGAAUUUAUAUGGUGCUAUAAGGGUAUAUUUGUACGGUGCUAUUAGAAGGCAACAUAGGUGCUGUUAAGAAUGCUUACAUGCAGCCGGUGACGUUUGUUUGUUUGGGUUAUGCGGGCAGCGAGUCUGUCGUUUAUAAGUGGAGUAGAAUUGUGGAUUCGGCGAUGUGGAGCAGUGAUUCAAGCCGUGGCACUGGAGUUUCAUGGCACGACUGGGGCAUGUACGGUGCACAAAAUGGAGGACUCUUUGUCCAAAGCCACAUCAUAGGAAUAAAGGGAAAUUAUAACAACGAAGUUUCCAUGUCCUGCUGGCAGUCCAUGCAUGUCUGUGUGUCUGUGUAAACCAGCCCAAAAGGGUGACUGUUCCAUGUCCGCUUCAGUGAAACUCCAAGGCUCUGCAGCUCUACAAGCUGCAGUGAAACUCCAAGUUUCUGCAGCCCUACAAGCUGCAGUGAAACUCCAUGGCUCUGCAGCUCUACAAGCUGCAGUAAAACUCCAAGAUACUGCAGUUACAAUUAAGCUGCAGUCAUAAGGAUGCACAGCUCUGCAGUGACCUGCAGUAACCACCAACGCUCUGCAGUCAACUCCAAGGAACCUGCAGUGGCCUGCCAUGUCUGUAACUUCACGCUGGUCAUUUCAUUGUUUCGAUCUCCAUGGAUGAGUGAGGCAACACUCCUAGCAAGCACUUAUAACCUGUCUGCAUCCACUCAUCACCUGCAAGUAAGGGGUUUCCAAGUUUUCUAAGUCACCGGCAUUCAAGAAGUAAGAAGUAAACUCAGUGUUACAUAAAGAUUCACUUAGUUGACAUUAAGUAUAAAUCUUCUUACAAUGAGUUCUAAUGAGGAUGCCACAGUUAUUGAGGGUGACCCAGGUAAGGGCCUGGAUGAGCAGGUGGAUGAGGCAGCACGCAGUGUAAGAACGAGAACACAAUCAGAGAGGAGUAAAGAGUAGGCCUACACCAUUCAGGUGUACAAGAGUAGGUGUUCAACAAAUAAGCGUGCUUGGAAGAGGGCAGCAAACAGUAUCUGUGCCAAAGUACAAGGGUCAAGUUGUAUUAAUGAAUUACAGGAUGUAUAAAAGUUAUGAAUACAAAGUUUGAAGAGUUUUACAGUGCUUGUGAGAAAUUAAUUGGAGCUGAUCCUCAAUGUAAUGAACAAAUUACUCAGGAGUUGGAUGACUGUGAGAAGUUUAACUUUAAUGUAAUCCAUGAAGUUGCAGAGAAAAUUAAAGCUCUGCAGCAUGAAAAUGAUUCAGUAACAUCUGAUGAUGACUUCAAUGUUUCAAAGGGUAAACAAGAGCAGGCUGGAGCUAAGGCAGAGCCUGAGGCUGUAUAAGAAUGGAGUGAGUCGGUUGAACCCAAGUCAACUUGACAAUGAAUGGAAGGGAAAGGAGCAGAUGCUUCAACAGUACCUAAACAAUCGGCCUCAAACUCUUGCUGAAGUGAAAGCACAGCCAGUUAAAAGGGAAGAAUUUAGUCAACAAUUUGACUUAAAUGAGGUAAAAGAAGAAUUGCAUAAAUCUGUAGAAAGGAUUGUUGAUAUGUUACCUAACAAGGAAGUUAACCCUCAUACCAAGGUUUUCUCACCAAAAGUUGAUUUGCAGGAACCUGACACACAUGUGACCAACAAUUCUGGUAGUCAGUCAGAUGGCACUAUUACCCAGCCUUCCCCAGGUUCAGUCAGUCAGUUAGAUGCAAUGCAGAGGAUAGCAGAAAUUAUGUCAAUGAGGCAAACCAGAGAAAACCUUCCACGUCCAGAACCAGAAGUGUUCAAGGGAGACAUGUUAGUUUUCACAACAUGGUUAAAAAGUUUUGAAAUUUUCAUUGAGUCCAGAACUACUGAUUUUACUGAAAGGCUCUUUACCUAGGAAGGUAUACCAAUGGUGAAGCCAAGGAAGCAAUCAGUGGAUUGCUUCAGUUAAAUACUGAAGAAGCUUACAUUAAAGCUAAGAAAACCCUGAAGGGUAAAUUUGGAAAUCUGUUUCUUGUGUCUAAUGCCUACAGAAAAAAGUUAUAUGAGUGUCCAAAAAUUCAGCAGAAUGAUGGCCCAGCACUAAGGAAAUUUGCAGAUUUCCUGGACAGCUGCAGGACAGCAGUGGAAAGCGUACCUCACCUAGUGGUCUUAGAUGACUCACAGGAGAAUGUCAAAUUAUUGAAGAAGUUACCUGUUUCACUAGUUGAAAAAUGGAACACAAUAGUGUACAAGUAUGCUUCUAGAGGUGAUGAUGAUAGUGAUGAUGAAGGUCUAACAGACAUAAGUUCUGAACAAUAUCCUCCCUUUAAAAGGUUCUUAAGUUCAUACGUAGAGAGGCCACAAAGGCGUGCAACCCAAUAUCAUCGUGCAGUGCAGUCAUAGAUAAGAAUCAAAGGAGCAGUGCAGUUGUAGCCAAAGGAAGAAAUAGUAGUUCAAGUACUGAUAAAUCAGGAAACAGACGUUUCAAGACAGAGGCAUCAGAGGUAAAGCUGGCACACACAACAAUGGACAACAAGGCUAAAUAUGAUAAAAGGCAUGAGGUAAGAAAAACAGGGCCAAGGAGACUGAGCUGCCUUUAUUGCAAUGAAGAGCAUGAUGUAGAUGUGUGUAAAAAGUUUAACUUGCUUGAUAUCAAUGCAAAGUUGGACUUUGUGCAGAAGCAGUACUUGUGUAGAGGAUGCUUGAAGCAUGGUCACAGAAAGAUAGAUUGUCGUCAUAAGAAAUGUUGUAGUAUAUGUCAACGAUACCACCCAACAUCUCUUCACAAUAAUGCCUUUGCACAAACUAGUGCUCAAAAUGUCAAGGCAGGAGAGUCAGACAGAGCAACUUAGCCAAAAGCAAAUGAAAGCUCAGCAGUUUCAAACAAGAUUAACACCAGUCAGUCUAUGACAGGAGAUAUGCACACCAUGAUUGUGCCAGGGUGGCUACACCACAGUAGCAGUGAACACAAUAAAAGGUUGGUGUAUGCAUUAUUGGAUUGUCAGUCUGAUGCCUGUUUCAUUAAAGAAAGCACCUUGGAAAGAAUGGGAGUUAAUGGCUCACCAGUACACUUUAAGCUCUUCACAAUAAUGGGAGAACAGGUAGUCCCCUGCACAAAAAUCAGUGGACUUGUUGUAUGAGGAUUCAGCGAGCACAUGAAAAUAGAUCUUCCACCUGCAUAUUCCAAGGAAGAUAUUCCUGCUAAAGAAGCUCAGAUACUGUGCCCUGAAACAGCCCAAACCUGGCCACACUUAACAAGUAUCUCUAACAAACUGAUGCCUUAUGAUGCAAAUGUAGAUGUGGCACUUCUUAUUGGAGCUAACUGUAUCAGAGCCAUUAAGCCCAAAGAGAUUUUUGUAGGAGAUGAAGAUGAUCCUUAUAGACUAAAAAUACACUUAGGAUGGGGCGUUGUUGGCCAAGCAAUUAAAGAAACUAAGAAAGUUUCAGAUGAUGUAGCGAGAGCAUAUAGAACUAUAGCCCAAGAAGUUGUCAUCAGUGAAGAAAGAAAAGUUAGUUUCCUUGUUGUUCCUAUUCAGAUAAAGGAGUUAAUAAACCCAGCACAAGUCAGGAACAUGUUUGAGGUUGAUUUUAAUGAUAAAGGAACUGACAACACUCCCUUUUCCUAUGAUGACAAAAGAUUCCUGAAAAGGAUGAGAGAGGGAGUGAAUCAGCAGAGAGAAGGGCACUAUGAGUUGCCUCUUCCACUGAAGAAUAAUAACAUCAAGCUUCCAAACAACAAGGACAUGGCCUUGCAUAGGCUCAUGAAGUUACAGGCAAUACUUAUGAGAGAUAAAAAGUACCACCAAGAUUACAAGGAAUUCAUGAAAGAAUUAAUUGACAAAGGCUAUGCAGAAACUGUGCCAGCCAGGGAUUUGCAACGAACAGAUGGUCAGGUGUGGUAUAUACCUCACCAUGGUGUUUACCACCCAAAGAAACCAGGGAAGAUAAGAGUGGUAUAUGAUUGUAGUGCUAACUACAAAGGUCAUUCUUUAAAUGGUCACCUGUUGCAGGGCCCAGACCUAACAAACAAUCUGGUUCUGGUUCUAUGUAGAUUCUGCCAAGAAGUGACAGCCUUUGUUUGUGACAUAGAAGCAAUGUAUCACCAAGUGAAGGUGAAACCUGAAUAAAGAGAUAUGCUGUGCUUUCUGUGGUGGAAUAAUGGAGAUCCAGGUGAGAAUAUGCUUGAAUACAGGAUGACGGCCCAUUUGUUUGGAGCUACAUCAUCUCCGAGCGUUGCUGAUUUUGCACUUAAGCAAGCUGCAAAUGACUAUGAGGCUCAGUAUGGAUAUGAUGCAGCAAACUUCAUCAGGAAGGAUUUUUAUGUUGAUGAUGGACUUAAAUCAGUACCAACAGUAAAGGAUGCCAUUGAUCUGCUUAUGAAAAGCAAGGCAUUGUGUAAAAUGGGAGGAUUUAAUCUCCAUAAGUUUCUGUCAAACAGUAAGGAAGUGUUAGCAGCAAUAGCUCCUGAAGAAAUGAAUAACACUGCAAGAGCCUGGAUUUAAGUAAAGACAUGCUACCUGUAGAAAGAACACUUGGAGGGGAGUGGUGUGUAGAAUCUGAUACUUUCCAGUUCAGAAUACAAGUCAAAGAUAAGCCACUCACAAAAAGGGGCACAUUGUCUACUGUGAGUUCAAUAUAUGAUCCAUUAGGCCUUGUGUCUCCUCACAUCCUCAUUGGCAAAGGAAUGCUCCAGGAGUUGUGCUGUGAAGGAUGAGGAGAUACCAAAGUAUGUGAGGCUGCAGUGGCAGCAAUGGAGAGAUGACCCACAUAAAUUAGGGCACUUAAAGAUACCACGAUGCUACAAGCCUGAAGGAUUUGGCGAAAUUAAAAAAGUUGAACUGCAUCGCUUUUCUGAUGCCAGUCAAAAGGGGUAUGGUCAGUGCUCUUACAUAAGACUGAUCAACACUGCUGAUCAAAUACACUGUGCACUUUUAAUGGUAAAAUCAAAAGUGACACCCCUCCGAGCCAUCACUGUGCCGAGGUUGGAACUCACAGCAGCAGUAGUGUCUGUGAGAAUCAGUGCAAUCUUAAAGAAGGAGUUAACCUAUGAAGAUACUCAGGAAGUGUUUUGGACAGACAGUAAGGUGGUGCUGGGAUACAUCAACAAUGAUUCUAAACGAUUUCAUGUAUGUGUAGCCAACAGAGUCCAGCAGAUAAGAGAUCAAACUUCACCUAGUCAGUGGAAGUAUGUGGAAACAGAGCACAACCCAGCAGACUAUGCCUCAAGAGGGCAGUCUGUAGAAGAGUUAAUUAACAAUGACAAGUGGUGGAAUGAGCCACACUUCUUGUGGCAACCCUUUGAGAUGAAUGAUGACCUAUCAGAGCAUCAUGAAUUGGAAGCUGAUGAUCCUGAAGUAAAAAGAGUUGCAUCAUGUGCUACACAGACACAUGAGCCAUUUAAUGUACUUGAGAGGCUGAACUGUUUCUCUGAUUGGUUCCGUAUGAAGAGAGCCAUUACAGUGUGCCUCAGGCUUCAAAGGAUGUACAAGAAGGAUGCAGAUGGGACACAUAAAGGAAGAAGCCAAGAAUACAUUCCACUGACAGUACAAGAACUGAAAGAAGCUGAAAAUGAGAUCAUAAGGCAGGCUCAGGCUCAUGCCUUCCAUGAUGAAAUAAAGAUGCUGAAGGGUGUAGGAACCCAUGAGUCUUCCCCACAGACAAAUAGAAGAGGAAAAACAGUAAAGAAAAUAAGCAAGUUGUACUAACUUGAUCCCAUCAUAGAUGAAGAUGGAAUAGUAAGAGUUGGGUGAAGAAUAUGGAGGUCUACUCAUCAAGUAGCAAGACAUCCAGCAAUCCUGCCUAAGGGAUCCCAUGUUACUGAUCUACUGAUUUGCUACUACCACAAAAAAAAAAUACAUCAUCAGGGUAGGGGCAUAACACUAAAUGAAAUUAGAGCAUCUGGGUACAGGUAACUCGAGAUUUACGCGAGUAUUGCAUCCUUGAAGAGGUCGCGUUAAUCAAAAACAAUGUAAAUCAAACAAGAGGUAGGUUUCUAUCGAAAAAUAAAUAUUCAUUCAGUGGAGAGAGAGAGAGAGAGAGAGAGAGAGAGAGAGAGAGAGAGAAUAUCCAUAUCACUGAGAUAUCCACUCAGGCACUUAAUCUCAGCCUCACUCAUGUGAGGAAGAAAUGAGGGACACCAUGAGCGACUGGCUAGUAUUGGUACUGGUACCGAGCAGUCUGGUACCGGUACCAUACCGUAUAGCUGGUACCAUUAGUACCGGUACUGGUACCAGUACCUGCGCACCCCUAUUGUUGAGUAGCGUGGCAGCAUGGGUACUGUAUUGUUGUUCAAGUGGCGCACGGAAAGAACUGAGCUCAGCUGUGUGGGCGCGGCGCCGUGUGAGUCCAGUUGCGUGAGGCAUCUAGUGGCCACUCCAUAAAAUAUCGUGUAUAAGUGAAAAAAAAGUGUAAAUUAAACAUUUAUUUGGAUUUUGGACCCGGCGUUAUUUCAAAAACGCGUAAAUCAAACUCACUUAAAUUGAGAGUUACCUGUACUGGAUUUUGGGGGGCUCAUCUCUGGUGGCUAGACAUGUCUCAAAAUGUGUAGCGUGCAGAAAAGUUGGAAUUGACACACAAGGUCAGAAGAUGGCAGACUUGCCACAAGAUAGGCUAGAGCCUUCCCCUCCCUUUACUUAUGCUGCAGUUGAUUUUUUUAGUCCUUUCUACAUCAUAGAGGAACAUGAAGAGCUAAAGAGAUAUGGGGUUCUUUUCACAUGCAUGGUAUCACGUGCAGUCCACCUAGAGACCAUCUAGAGACAGCAAACAGUCUGGACACUACUUCCUUUCUCAGUGCUUACUGCCACUUUAUAGGAAGAAGAGGCCCAGUAAGGCAGUUAAGAUCAGAUCAAGGAACAAACUUUGUAGGUGCAAAUAAUGAGUUAGCCAACUCUUUGAGAGAAAUAGAUGAGGAGAAGCUAAGAACUGAAUUACUAAAGGACAGUUGUGAUUGGGUUCAUUUCAAGAUGAAUGUACCACAUGCAGGCCAUAAGGGUGGGGUGUGGGAGAGACAAAUAAGAACAGUGAGAAGCAUAUUGUCAGUGCUACUUGAUCAACAUGGACCUCAGUUAGAUGAUGAAAUGCUUAGAGCAUUAAUGAUAGAAGCAGAGACAGUUGUAAAUGGUAGACCUCUAACUGUGGAUAACCUUACCUCUCCUACUAGCUUAGAACCACUGACACCCAACACUCUGUUAACUAUGAAAUCAAAGAUUGUGAUGCCUCCUCCGGGUAAAUAUGAAAGAGUUGACUUGUACUCAAGGAAACGUUGGCGUAGGGUACAGUUCCUUGUAAAUGAGUUCUGGUCAAGGUGCAAAAGGGAAGUUUUGCAGUCUCUUCAGCUUAGAAAUAAAUGGCAGAAACCCUGAAGAAACCUCAAGGUGAAUGAUGUUAUUGUUAAGGAUUGCAACCUAGCUAGAAAUCAAUGGAAGCUGGGCAGAAUAACUGAGUGUUUUCCAAGUGAUGAUGGUCUUGUGAGAAAGGUGAAAGUGAUGAUGUCAGACUCAUGUCAUGACAAUUCAGGGAAACGAACGAAGCCAAUGAACAUUGUUUAACUUGUUCAUAGUCUUGUUCUCUUGUUAGAAUGUACUACUCAGGAAGACCAGGGCACCCCCACCGAGGAGCCUAAUUGAUUUGUUUGUACUCAGGAGAUGCACAGAUAAUGUCAACAGUAUUUCAUGUAUCUGUAAUACUCAUGUUAUAAUUAAUGUUAUAAGGUAAAUUUUCCUACAAUUUAGGGGAGCCAUGUAACUGUGGUAUCAAUAUACCUCAUUGUACCUCAUUGUUAUUAUGUAAAAUAUUAAUAUGUAAGGAAUUUAUAUGGUGCUAUAAGGGUAAACUUGUAUGGUGCUAUUAGAAGGCAACAUAGGUGCCGUUAAGAAUGCUUACAUGCAUCUGCCGACAUUCGUUUGUUUGGGUUAUGCGGGCAGCGAGUCUGUUGUUUAUGAGUGGAGUAGAAUUGUGGAUUAAGCGAUGUGGAGCAGUGAUUCAAUCCGUGGCACUGGAGGUGAAUGGCUGACGGACGAGCACAUGAAUUAUGCCCAAGCCCUUCUGAAGAACAACUUCCCUAAGACUGAUGGUCUACAGCACACCAUGGAGCCUUUCAAGUUGCCAUCAAUAACUCAUUUCAAAGGAGUCUAAUGAGGGAAUUUGUGCAGAUAUUGCUCAUAAUAAACAACCAUUGAAUUUGUGCAAUAUCCCUUAGGUGUGGCCCAGGAGAGGUUAAAAUAUAUGAUAGUUUAACACCAUCUGUGCAAAGGGGAGGAUGCAGAAAUAUCGUAGUGGUGUAUGUCCCUCCAAAAAACAAUUCAUGGACAGAAGAAUUGUACAAGAAGAAGCUGGAAGAUACAUUGGAUUGCCUAAGGAGAUUGCUGGAGGAGAAGGAUAAGAUUCUGAUAAUGGGAGAAUUUAAUUGUAAGGAAGUGUCAUGGGAAAACUGGUCAACGGAAGGAAGUGAAGCUUCAUGGGGAACAAGAAUAAUCACCAGGGAGCCAGAUAUCAUAGAGGAGAUGAACUGUAAGAAUCCUGUAGGGAAGAGCGAUCAUGUACUUAUUGAGUACAUAUUACGAGAAGGAGGUAAAAUAAUCAGGAAUGAGGACUACAGGAAAGAAUGGUUUAACUUUAAUAAGGCAAAUUUUGAACAACUUGGAAAACAUUUUGAGGAAGCACAAUGGGAUACUUUUUUCGAGGCUGAUAAUGCGGAGGAAAAAUGGGCUGAAAAGUUGAGCAACUUGAUUAAUGUCUCACUAGCACAAGGGAAGGUACCAAGAGACUGGAAGAGGGCUAACAUCGUCCCAAUAUAUAAAGGAGGAAGUAAGGAAGACCCGUUGAACUAUAGGCCAGUGUCAUUAACAAAUGUAGUAGCAAAGAUGUGUGAGAAAAUUAUAAAAAAAACAGAUGGGUGGGGUAUUUAGAAGAAAACAGUAUAUUAACAAGUAGCCAAUUCGGAUUCAGAGGAGGAUGGUCUUGUGUAACUAAUUUGAUCAGCUUCUAUUCAAGAGUAAUUGAUAUAAUACAGGAAAGGGACGGUUGGGCAGAUUGUGUGUAUCUGGACUUAAAGAAGGCAUUUGAUAAAGUACCACACAAGCGAUUAAUAUGGAAACUUAAUCAUGUUGGAGGUCUGGGUAGUUCAAUAUUGGAUUGGAUUAUGGACUUUAAUAAUAAAUCAAGCUGGAUGGAAGUGACUAGUGGAGUCCCCCAAGGAUCGGUGUUGGCUCUGAUUAUGUUUGUAAUAUAUAUUAAUGACAUGACAGAAGGGGUGACAAGCUAUAUGAAUAUGUUUGCUGAUGAUGCUAAAAUAAUGAGGAUGGUGGCUAAUGAAGAAGACUGUGUAGCCCUGAGCCAAGAUCUCGAUAGAAUAAGCGAAUGGUCACGCAAAUGGGAAAUGACAUUCAAUACAGAAAAGUGUAGCGUGUUGGAGUUUGGUAAGAGUAGUUGAUGAAUAUCGGGGAACUAUUCUCCGAGUAAUGAAAGAAUCAUGAAAAAAACUGAAGAAAAAGAUCUGGGAGUGAUCAUAACAGACAAGUUAUCCUUUGGAAAACAUAUAGACCGGAUAACUGGGGAAACAUACAAUCUUCUUAGAAACAUAAAAGCAGGAUUUACAUAUUUAGAUAAAGAAAUUGCGAAGAAACUAAUAACAUCGAUGAUACGUCCCAGACUGGAAUAUGCAGCAUUAGUGUGGUCACCUAGAUUGAAGAAAAAAAUUAGAAAGUUGAAAAGAAUACAAAGAGCAGCGACUAAAUUACCAGAAACUCUGAGAGAACAUACUUAUGAAGAAAGACUGGAGAAAUGGGGACUAACAACACCGGAGAGAAGAAGAGAGAGAGGGGACCUAAUAGCAUUGUACAGGAUACAAGAGGGAUUGGAUAAAUUGAACAGGGAAGACCUAGUGGAACAUGACAGAAGUGUGACAAGAGGCAAUGGUAAGAAACUGAAGAAGAGCGACUGUAGGAGAGACAUCAAGAAAUACAGUUUUCCAUACAGAAGCAUAACAACUUGGAAUGGACUUGACGAGGAGACUGUGUGUGCAAAAACGAUUCAUGAAUUUAAAGCCAAACUGGAUAAUAAGCAUUAUGGAGACGGGACAGCACGAGCCUAGUAUGGCUCUUUUUCCUGUGUUUCACAGCUACAGUACCCUCUCGAGUUUCGUGCUAUCCAAGUUUCACGGUUUGUCCUAAAUUCUUACCAUCCCGACUUUCGCGCAUUAUCACCCCGAGUUUCGCGCUGCUUUUACACGUACGGGUCACGUCUGCUUAUCAUCGGCGUCACGCACACUACCUUUAAAGGUAUCACACUGGACGUUUUCCUUCAAACAUUGUGGCUUUGGAGAGAGAGAGAGAGAGAGAGAGAGAGAGAACGGGUCGUUUUGAAGCCGCAGUUGGAGGUGGCUGCCUUACAAUUGGCUGACGGUUUUGAAAACAUGUUUGUGAUUUGCUGGGAGUCUGAUGACGUCAUUGCUGACACUCAUCCUAUUAGCGGCUUCACUGCCUUAAGGGGGUGUCACAAUGACCGUUUUUGUCCAACCGUUAGGGCUACGGGCAACGCCCGUACGCCCAACCGGGAGCGAGUUUACGGUUGUCUGUAAGCUGAUGUCACACAGGACUUUUUUUCUUUCCACUGCGUUGGCGCCAGCUAGGGCAACCGGCAACUCCAACUUUUCCUGGUGUGCGUCACACAUGGCCAAGGUCGGUUGCCCGU